UAGGGAAUCUUCCACAAUGGACGCAAGUCUGAUGGAGCAACGCCGCGUGAGUGAAGAAGGUUUUCGGACCGUAAAGCUCUGUUGUUGGUGAAGAAGGAUAGAGGUAGUAACUGGCCUUUAUUUGACGGUAAUCAACCAGAAAGUCACGGCUAACUACGUGCCAGCAGCCGCGGUAAUACGUAGGUGGCAAGCGUUGUCCGGAUUUAUUGGGCGUAAAGCGAGCGCAGGCGGAAGAAUAAGUCUGAUGUGAAAGCCCUCGGCUUAACCGAGGAAUUGCAUCGGAAACUGUUUUCUUGAGUGCAGAAGAGGAGAGUAGAACUCCAUGUGUAGCGGUGGAAUGCGUAGAUAUAUGGAAGAAUACCAGUGGCGAAGGCGGCUCUCUGGUCUGCAACUGACGCUGAGGCUCGAAAGCAUGGGUAGCGAACAGGAUUAGAUACCCUGGUAGUCCAUGCCGUAAAACGAUGAGUGCUAA
rnacentral:rRNA from 1 species